rnacentral:rRNA from 1 species
UACGUAGGGAGCGAGCGUUAUCCGGAAUUAUUGGGCGUAAAGCGUGCGUAGGCGGCGUGUUAAGUCGAAUGUGAAAUCCCACAGCUCAACUGUGGAGGGUCAUUCGAAACUGGCAUGCUAGAGUAUGGCAGAGGUUAGUGGAAUUCAAUGUGUAGCGGUAAAAUGCGUAGAUAUAUUGAGGAACACCAGUGGCGAAGGCGGCUUUCUGGACAGUUACUGACGCUCAGACACGAAAGCGUGGGGAGCAAACAGG